rnacentral:rRNA from 1 species
CCUACGGGGGGCAGCAGUGGGGAAUAUUGGACAAUGGGGGCAACCCUGAUCCAGCCAUGCCGCGUGUGUGAAGAAGGCCCUCGGGUUGUAAAGCACUUUCAGUGAGGAAGAACGCCUGGUGGUUAAUACCCAUCAGGAAAGACAUCACUCACAGAAGAAGCACCGGCUAACUCCGUGCCAGCAGCCGCGGUAAUACGGAGGGUGCGAGCGUUAAUCGGAAUUACUGGGCGUAAAGCGCGCGUAGGUGGCUUGAUAAGCCGGUUGUGAAAGCCCCGGGCUCAACCUGGGAACGGCAUCCGGAACUGUGAAGCUAGAGUGCAGGAGAGGAAGGUAGAAUUCCCGGUGUAGCGGUGAAAUGCGUAGAGAUCGGGAGGAAUACCAGUGGCGAAGGCGGCCUUCUGGACUGACACUGACACUGAGGUGCGAAAGCGUGGGUAGCAAACAGGAUUAGAUACCCGGGUAGUC